rnacentral:rRNA from 1 species
UACGGGGGGGGUAAGCGUUGUUCGGAAUUACUGGGCGUAAAGGGCUCGUAGGCGGCCAACUAAGUCAGACGUGAAAUCCCUCAGCUUAACUGGGGAACUGCGUCUGAUACUGGAUGGCUUGGAUUCGGGAGAGGAAUGCGGAAUUCCAGGUGUAGCGGUGAAAUGCGUAGAUAUCUGGAGAAACACCGGUGGCGAAGGCGGCAUUCUGGACCGAUAUUGACGCUGAGGAGCGAAAGCCAGGGGAGCAAACGGG